GCAAUUGACGAGAGAGGGGGCGGCCAAGGUGGUGGGAGCCCCUGAUGAGGGACAGAUGGACCUUCAGCAGAUCCGCGCAGGCUUUAGAGCAAAGAUCAAUUCCAGACCCAAAGUUAUGUCUCCUGAUCGCCCUGCUGUUCUCCAUUCCUCCUCUCCGCCUCCUAUCCAAGGCUGGAAACACACUCCCUGGCACUGUGUCUCAGAGCUCCUUUGCUCGGCUUCUCCCUGUAAAGUUAUUGGUUUUAUUUUUUUUCCAACCCAGGUGUAACGAACAGAAUUGGAGCACCAAAAAUCCUCAUUGUGGCGCCUCGGGUGCGAAAUUGGGCUCUCCUUUGUAACCCUUUAAAGAGGUGCCUAACGUAGCACGCUCUGAACUCGUGAGGCUCUGAGCCUCAUAACUUGUAGCACCGUUAAAGCGAUUGGCCCUCCCUGAAGUGAUGGAAACCCCAUUGGCACGUAGAAAGUCUGCUGCAGAGCGGCAGAAUGUAUGAAAUUACACGAGCCAGGAAAAGAUUGUUUCAGGGUUCUAAACCGGGGGAGGGGAGGAUGUGCAGCAAUAUUCCCUGACGUUAUUUAGGAAAUACAUGGACAAAAAAAAGGGCGGGGAGAAAGAAGGGAACAAAACAAAACAAGAGCACUUCAAAAUGUUUCUGAGCUGUUGCUUUGCUGCAAACAAUUCCCUGGGUGGAGACAGAUUGGUGGAUACGGCAUUUGUAAAUCGAGCGAUGCUUCAGAGCUGGGGGCAGGGCAGGGUUGGGGGAAAAUAAAGCUCCCUUCUUUGUUUCCAGCCUGAUUAGAGGUUAGGGUGGAAAACUAAGGGGGAAAGGGGACUCACCCCUGAACUUGGAGGAAAUGGCAUGGCGACCAGUCAGCUGCAGGGUUCCUCAUCCUUUAAUGUACUGUGUGCUAUCCAUGUCACUUGUGAGUGGUCUCCAACACAGAAGUGACCCAGAGACCCUGGAGAUGACAUCUCUUUUCUUUACUUACUUACUUACUUUAUAUUCUGCUUUUCCUGCAAGGAGCUCAAGGUCAGGUGUGUUGAGAUAUGAAUCUAUAAUCUUUUCCUACUAUUCUUCUGAGCAGAGCAGGGAAGACAAGGGCAAAAGGUGAAAACUCUUUCUCUGCUUUCCCUCUCUGUUAUUUUCUUCUCUCUCUGCACGCUGUCCCUGGAUGACCUCAUCAGAUCCCAGAAACCCCUAAAACACUGAUGACAACCAACCCUCUCCCCCUCUGAACCGCCCUCCUCACCCCACAUCUUGAAGUGCCUCUCUGAUCUUAUUGCUGGAAUACUCAAUAUGUCAAAGAUCAAAUGUCUGGUCUUUCAUCUCAAGCCGCCUUCUUCAUGUAUUCUUGGCUUUUUCUUUGACAAUGUUGCCAUUCACCCUUAAUAUAUCCUUUCCUUGUUGCUCUUCUGGCCCAUGCUCUAGUUAUCUCUCACCUAGACCUCUACAGUAUUUUCCUUUCUAGUCCUCUGCAGGGUCAGCCUCAUCUCCUCAUACAGGCAAAAUAAAACCCUUUCUUAUCACUCUUAUCAUGUGAUGCCCCUACACUGGCUUCUCAUCUACUCUAAGACUAAUGUGAUUGCCUUCACGGCCCUCCAUGGCUUCACCCCCUAAUCUCCCUGCACAUCCCAGCUGGUGAUCUUCAUUCCUCUGGUUAAUGAUGUUAGGUGUGCAAACAUGAUCAUUCUGUGUCGUAGUGUUUCUGUCCCACCUCUGCUGUGAACAUGGUACCCACCCACCCAUAUAUAUAGAUCCCACAUCGAUUUAGGGGUAUAAAAAUGAAUGAGCAAACUCAAAACCAUUUCAUGAGAGUGGACUUCUUUGAACUGUAUCAGAUACUCCAAAGUUAAGAUUUUGCUGAGAAAUCUACGAAGCUUUCCAACCUCUGCAAAUUGGGCUGGCCUGGAACGCAAUGGAGCUAGUAAUUGCUGGUCCAGAGUUCCCCCAGGUAUCUUUAAUUUAUUUUAUUAUAACCAAGUGUAAUAAAAACCACUGCAAUUC